CUAGACAUGGGCAUCUCUGCCACCACCCAGAAGCAGCUGCUUUCUUCCCCUCCCAUCUCCAUCAGAAGUACGUGGCAUGCCUGGAUGUCCCUGCCCUGGCUGUGGCAUGGCGGGCCCAAGGCUCCUCUUCCUCACUGCCCUUGCCCUGGAACUCUUGGGAAGGGCUGGGGGUUCCCAGCCGGCCCUCCGGAGCCGGGGGACUGCGACGGCCUGUCGCCUGGACAACAAGGAAACUGGGGCCUGGCGCCUGAAGCAGCUGCUCAGCUUCGCCCUGGGGGGACUCUUGGGCAAUGUGUUUCUGCAUCUGCUGCCCGAAGCCUGGGCCUACACGUGCAGCACCAGCCCUGGUAAGUGAGGCCACAGGCCAGGGGCAAGACAGUGCCAGGAGUAGGGGCCUGGUGCCCACGCCCAGGGAUGGCCAGGAUGACCAGGAGAGGGAUUCUGGGUUUCUGGCAGGAGCUUGCCUGGGAGGGAGGGAGGGUCAUUGUCCUGGUCUCUGGGCCCUGGUCCCAGUGGGAGUUCUGGGCCCCAGCUGCCCAACCCACCCUUGUCACUGCCCUGGUGCCCUGGAUGAGAUCCCAUUCCAAAUGGCCCCCUCCUAUGGCCCUGGCUUGGCUUGGCCUGGCCUGGCCUGGCAUUGCCGCCCCCUGCAGGUGGUGAGGGGCAGAGCCUGCAGCAGCAGCAACAGCUGGGGCUGUGGGUCAUUGCUGGCAUCCUGACCUUCCUGGCGUUGGAGAAGAUGUUCCUGGACAGCAAGGAGGAGGGGACCAGCCAGGUCAGCGGCUACCUCAACCUGCUGGCCAACACCAUCGAUAACUUCACCCACGGGCUGGCUGUGGCUGCCAGCUUCCUUGUGAGCAAGAAGGUGAGGGGCUUGGGGCCAGUGGGGCUCUGGCGAUUCCGGUGGCAGCCAUGUGGAUUCCACCUGUGUCUGGAGUCUCUGCUUCUUGCCCCUCCAUUGCCAGCACCCUCAUCUAAGGCUCUCAUCCCCCAUCCUCCCUGCUGCUGUCCUGGCCACCACUGUUCUCUGAUCCUGAGCCCCUGGUCUGUUCCUGUUCCCAGUACUCCUUGUUGGGUGCCUCUGUCAAGCUGCUAGGCGUGGCCCCUGCCUGCUCCUAGAUGCUUCUUCCUCUACCUCCUCCCUCUGGCCUCUGGCCUCUGGCCCAGAGGCAGCCUACUCUGCAGCUGGCUGAGAUCUUUCCCACCUCACACUGUUCCCCCUGCCUGGAAUGUUCUCCCGCCCACGCUUCGAGCGGCUGACGACUCAUCCUUGGGGCCUCGACUUACAUGGACUCCUCCACCAGGCCUUUGCUGACCUCCUCAUCUAAAUUUGGUUCCUGGGCCUGCUCCCCUGGGCACUCUAUCCAUCCUUUCCUUCCCAGCGCCUAUCGGGCUCCUGACAACCAUGGCCAUCCUCCUGCAUGAGAUCCC
rnacentral:lncRNA from 1 species